UAGAGUUGAUUUGGCUCAGAGUUUGGCCUGGCUCAGAUUGAACGCUGGCGGCAGGCGUAACACAUACAAGUCGAACGGUAACAGUACUGGCUUGCUAGUCGAUGACGAGUGGCGGACGUGUGAGUAAUGCUUGGGACCUUGCCUGGGGGAGGGGGAUAACAGUUGGAAACGACUGCUAAUACCGCAUAAUGUCUCAGGACCAAACGCGGUUUGGCCUCUGGCGCAAAGAGAGGCCCAAGUGAGAUUAGCUAGUUGGUAAGGUAAGGGCUUACCAAGGCGACGAUCUCUAGCUGUUCUGAGAGGAAGAUCAGCCACACUGGGACUGAGACACGGCCCAGACUCCUACGGGAGGCAGCAGUGGGGAAUAUUGCACAAUGGGGGCAACCCUGAUGCAGCCAUGCCGCGUGUGUGAAGAAGGCCUUCGGGUUGUAAAGCACUUUCAGUUGUGAGGAAAAGUUAGUAGUUAAUACCUGCUAGCUGUGACGUUAACAACAGAAGAAGCACCGGCUAACUCCGUGCCAGCAGCCGCGGUAAUACGGAGGGUGCGAGCGUUAAUCGGAAUUACUGGGCGUAAAGCGCACGCAGGCGGUUUGUUAAGUCAGAUGUGAAAGCCCCGGGCUCAACCUGGGAAGGUCAUUUAGAACUGGCAGACUAGAGUCUUGGAGAGGGGAGUGGAAUUCCAGGUGUAGCGGUGAAAUGCGUAGAUAUCUGGAGGAACAUCAGUGGCGAAGGCGACUCCCUGGCCAAAGACUGACGUUCCAUGCGAAAGCUGUCAGCUC
rnacentral:rRNA from 1 species